rnacentral:rRNA from 1 species
GAUGAACGCUGGCGGCGUGCCUAAUACAUGCAAGUCGAGCGAACGGACGAGAAGCUUGCUUCUCUGAUGUUAGCGGCGGACGGGUGAGUAACACGUGGAUAACCUACCUAUAAGACUGGGAUAACAUCGGGAAACCGUAGCUAAUACCGGAUAAUAUUUUGAACCGCAUGGUUCAAAAGUGAAAGACGGUCUUGCUGUCACUUAUAGAUGGAUCCGCGCUGCAUUAGCUAGUUGGUAAGGUAACGGCUUACCAAGGCAACGAUGCAUAGCCGACCUGAGAGGGUGAUAGGCCACACUGGAAGUGAGACAGGGUCCAGACUCCUACGGGAGGCAGCAGUAGGGAAUCUUCCGCAAUGGGCGAAAGCCUGACGGAGCAACGCCGCGUGAGUGAUGAAGGUCUUCGGAUCGUAAAACUCUGUUAUUAGGGAAGAACAUAUGUGUAAGUAACUGUGCACAUCGUGACGGUACCUAAUCAGAAAGCCACGGCUAACUACGUG